GACGAACGCUGGCGGCGUGCCUAAUACAUGCAAGUUGAGCGCUGAAGGUUGGUACUUGUACCAACUGGAUGAGCAGCGAACGGGUGAGUAACGCGUGGGGCAUCUGCCUUUGAGCGGGGGACAACAUUUGGAAAAGAAUGCUAAUAUCGCAUAAAAACUUUAAACACAAGUUUUAAGUUUGAAAGAUGCAAUUGCAUCACUCAAAGACGAUCCCGCGUUGUAUUAGCUAGUUGGUGAGGUAAAGGCUCACCAAAGCGAAGAUACAUAGUCGACCUGAGAGGGAGGACGACCACAAUGGGACUGGAGCACGGCCCAAGCUCCUACGGGAAGGAGCAAGAGGGGAUCAUCGGCAAUGGACGAAAGUCUUACCGAACAACGCCGCGGUAGGGAAGAAAGGUUUCGGGGCUGAAAACUCUGUUUGUAGGGAAGAACGAUGGUGAGGGUAGAAAGCUCAUCAAGUGACGGUAACUACCCAGAAAGGAACGGCUAACUACGUG
rnacentral:rRNA from 1 species